CGCAUCAUUUUCUUGAUAGUGAUACUGUGCAUGCUGCGCUCGCAGCUGGCAGAUCCAAAGCCAGAGCCAAAGGGAGACGGAGAUCCAAAACCAGAGCCAAAGGGAGACGGAGAUCCAAAGCCAGAGCCAAAGGGAGACGGAGAUCCAAAGCCAGAGCCAAAGGGAGACGGAGAUUCCAAUACUACAGCUUCUUCAGGUGGCACUUCCAGGCUCUCAAAUCAAAUGGCCUUCCUCACAUUCCCGUUAAAGUGUCUUGGAUUGAUCCAGUGGUGAUCCAGUUGCCGGAUACAUUCACUUGCCAGAGUGUUUUCCCCGGCGCAAAAAAAAAAAAA
rnacentral:misc_RNA from 1 species